rnacentral:rRNA from 1 species
UACGUAGGGCGCGAGCGUUGUCCGGAUUUAUUGGGCGUAAAGAGCUCGUAGGCGGUGUUCCAUGUCAGAGGUGAAAGCCUGGGGCUCAACUCCAGAAUUGCCUUUGAAACGGGGACGCUUGAGUCCGAGAGAGGAUGGCGGAAUUCCUAGUGUAGAGGUGAAAUUCGUAGAUAUUAGGAAGAACACCGGUGGCGAAGGCGGCCAUCUGGCUCGGUACUGACGCUCAGGUUCGAAAGCGUGGGGAGCAAACAGG